rnacentral:rRNA from 1 species
AGUGAACGCUGGCGGCAGGCCUAAUACAUGCAAGUCGAACGGCAGCACAGCAGAGCUUGCUCUGUGGGUGGCGAGUGGCGGACGGGUGAGGAAUACGUGGGAAUCUGCCCAGUCGUGGGGAUAACGUAGGGAAACUUACGCUAAUACCGCAUGCGCCUUCGGGGAAAGCCGGGGGACCUUCGGGCCUGGCGCGAUUGGAUGAGCCCACGUCGGAUUAGCUAGUUGGCGGGGUAAAGGCCCACCAAGGCGACGAUCCGUAGCUGGUCUGAGAGGAUGAUCAGCCACACUGGAACUGAGACACGGUCCAGACUCCUACGGAAGGCAGCAGUAGGGAAUAUUGGACAAUGGGCGCAAGCCUGAUCCAGCCAUGCCGCGUGAGUGAAGAAGGCCCUCGGG